AUGAGGGACGGGCUGGAGCCCCUCUCCGGCGAGGCCGCCGCCGAUUUCUUCUGCGAUGGCUUGUCACCGGGCGGGCCAUACUGGGACCAUGUCCUAGGGUACUGGUGCGCGCAUUUGGCACACCCGGACCGGGUGAUCUUCUUCCGGUAUGAAGAGAUGAUUCGGGACCCCGCGGCACAUGUGCGUAAGCUGGCGGAGUUUGUCGGACGCCCGUUCGACGCCGAGGAGGAGGAGGCCGGCACGGUGGACGCCAUCGUCAGGCUAUGCUCGUUUGAGAACAUGACCGGGCUCGGAGCCACCAAGAAAGGCAAGACGGAGCUCGUGGUCGGCACGGUGGAGAACAACUGGUUCUUCCGGCGCGGCAUGGUUGGGGACUGGGAGAACCAUCUGUCGCCGGAGACGACACGGAAGAUUGACGCCAUCACCCAUGCCAGGUUCAGGGAGUCCGGCCUCCAUGUCUAG
rnacentral:rRNA from 1 species